rnacentral:rRNA from 1 species
UACAGAGGUGGCAAGCGUUGUUCGGAAUUACUGGGCGUAAAGGGCGCGUAGGCGGUCUUUUAAGUCUUGUGUGAAAUCCCUCGGCUCAACUGAGGAACUGCACGGGAUACUGGAAGACUUGAGUUCGGGAGAGGGAAGCGGAAUUCCGGGUGUAGCGGUGAAAUGCGUAGAUAUCCGGAGGAACACCGGUGGCGAAGGCGGCUUCCUGGACCGAUCACUGACGCUGAGGCGCGAAAGCUAGGGGAGCAAACGGG